CAAUAGCGUAUAUUAAAGUUGUUGCAGUUAAAAAGCUCGUAGUUGGAUUUCGGGACGGGCCAGUUGGUCCGCCGCAAGGUGUGUUACUGACUGGUCUGUUCUUCUUCGCAAAGACUUCGUAUGCUCUUCGUUGAGUGUGCGUAGGAUUUACGACGUUUACUUUGAAAAAAUUAGAGUGUUCAAAGCAGGCUAUCGCUUGAAUACAUGAGCAUGGAAUAAUGGAAUAGGACUUUGGUCCUAUUUUGUUGGUUUCUAGGACCGAAGUAAUGAUUAAGAGGGACAAUUGGGGGCAUCCGUAUUUCGUUGUCAGAGGUGAAAUUCUUGGAUUUACGAAAGACGAACAACUGCGAAAGCACUUGCCAAGAGUGUUUNCAUUAA
rnacentral:rRNA from 1 species